UAGUCUGUCUGGGGAGAUAAAGGAGAGGGACCCUGCCUCUAAAAUUAGUCUGUCUGGGGAGAUAAAGGAGAGGGACCCUGCCUCUAAAAUGAGUCCCUCUGUGAAACGUGACAGCAAAGACAAAAUCCCAAUCCAACAGGACAUAGCAGCCUCCCCUGCACCCAGCUGUGUGUCCAUGAAGAGUGACAAGUCAAUGCGACAGCCUAACAACUUCAGAGAGGGAGACUUUUCUACUGAACAAAGUAUGGAUCAUGGUGGAGAGUGGAGGUUGAAAUCAGGACCG